GACGAGCCACCCAAACGUUAUUCGGAAUUACUGGGCUUAAAGGGUGCGUAGGCGGCUUUCUAAGUCGGGGGUGAAAUCCUGGAGCUCAACUCCAGAACUGCCUUCGAUACUGGAAGCUCGAGUCCGGGAGAGGUGAGUGGAACUGCGAGUGUAGAGGUGAAAUUCGUAGAUAUUCGCAAGAACACCAGUGGCGAAGGCGGCUCACUGGCCCGGUACUGACGCUGAGGUGCGAAAGCGUGGGGAGCGAACGAG
rnacentral:rRNA from 1 species